GAUGAACGCUGGCGGCGUGCUUAACACAUGCAAGUCGAACGGAAAGGCUCCUGCUUGCAGGGGUACUCGAGUGGCGAACGGGUGAGUAACACGUGGGUGAUCUGCCCUGCACUUCGGGAUAAGCCUGGGAAACUGGGGCUAAUACCGGAUAGGACGAUGGGUUGGAUGCCAUUGUGGAAAGAUUUUCCGGUGUGGGAUGAGCUCGCGGCCUAUCAGCUUGUUGGUGGGGUAUUGGCCUACCAAGGCGUCGACGGGUAGCCGGCCUGAGAGGGUGUACGGCCACAUUGGGACUGAGAUACGGCCCAGACUCCUACGGGAGGCAGCAGUGGGGAAUAUUGCACAAUGGGCGCAAGCCUGAUGCAGCGACGCCGCGUGGGGGAUGACGGCCUUCGGGUUGUAAACUCCUUUCGCUAGGGACGAAGCGCGAGUGACGGUACCUGGAGAAGAAGCACCGGCUAACUACGUG
rnacentral:rRNA from 1 species